AUGAAAUAUAUUAUUUCAGGUCCUAAAUUUUUUUAGCUAGCUAAAUUCCACUUCUAUUUCUCAAACUAUGAACCGAUGAUAGUUUAAUUCUCAAAUUUUAAUUUAAUAUAAUAAUUUUUUGCAUAAAAUAUUUUAAAAUUUUGCAAAUAAGUCUUACAGCCUAAUUUAAUUGACUAAAUAUUAAUGUAUCGUUAAUGUGAAAAUAAUGUGU
rnacentral:lncRNA from 1 species